CGCCCCAUCACGAGGGGCGGGACUGCCGCAGGACGCCGGGGUCACGACCCCGGCGCCAACUUUAAAAUGGCCCCGCAGCACCGAGACAAGGGGGAGUGAAGGAGCUGAGCGGACCGCCCCGGUCGACGGGAGGAGCGGCCCAGCGGCAGCAGUACUCAGCCCGCCGGACCAGCCAGAGGGGGGGCGGUCGAUACCACCCGGGACAGUCUCCUGAACCCGAGACAUCCACAGGCGCCACAGACGAAUGGAUGAGUUCCAGAGGCAGCACCAUCGACCACAGGCUCCAGGAGGACAUUCAGCUGUGAUGAGACACCUGGCAGGAGCAGGGCCACUCUCUGUGCUCAGAUGUGCACUCGCUUGUUGUCAGCAUGAUGCCUGCUCCAUCUUCUGCUCCCACUCCUGCUGUUGCUGCAACUCCCUCUCCUGCUUCUCCCCCAAUACUCUCCCCAUCCCUCCAUAGAUGCCGAGGCCCUGCACACGUGGCAGCGGGAUCAGCAGAGCCAGAGCUUUCCGCCAAGGGAACCAGGAUAAGAGCUGCAGGAAAUGUGGCUACAUGAACGAGUCACUACACCAUGUCCUGUGUGGUUACCAUCCCCACUCUACAGCCUGGAAGCUGUGCCACAAUGCCAUCCACGACUGACUAGACAAAGCCAUCCUGCCAUUUCUGGGGAAGAUCACCAUCAAAUCCACCAUCACCUGAAGAGACAGCCAGCAGCACCCAGACAUCAUUGUAACGAAGAGCAGAGGAGGGUCAACACACAGUAGAUGUCACAGUCCCCUUCGAGAAUAGGAAGUCCUCCUAACAUGGGGCCAAAGCUCAGCAGUGGAGAAAUACACUCUGCUGGCCGGCACCCCGAGAGCCCAGGCCUGUAAGGUGUAAAUCCACGCCCUGAUCAGAGCCCUGGGCGUAUGGGAAUCUAAUGAUAAGCCGGCGCUGAGACUGUACGGAGUUGGUCAGCGCUAUGCUCAGUUGAUAUGGCAUCUCAUAGUGUCCAGUGCCAUCAGAUAGUCCACAAACAUAUCCAUAGCAUGCAACACUGACAAUACCAAGAUGCAUGGAUAGGACUGUUGAUGAGAGACACAAUGAGGGAAGUAGCCCAAAUUGUUCCUUGACAGACUGUAUUUUGCCAUAGAAAACAUACCCAGACACUGAUGGAUCAAGGGACAGUCCCCACUCAUUCCCUCUACAGUAACUGACUCUAUUUAACUUCUCAUGGGUGAUGUACCAGAACAUUUAUUUCUUACCACCUAAAUACCUGCACACUUAAAUUUGGGUCAAUGUUUGUUAUGUAUCAUAUGAAUCUUGUGACUUUCUGACAAAACUUGUAAUUUUCUGUAAUCCCAGAUGUAGACAGCCUUUCCUUUAAACUUGUGCAAUGUGACUUUUUUAUUUCAAACCGUUGCUUUAAUUAUACUAGGGCACUGAGAGCCUUGUAUAGAUAUCUUUGUAUUAUAUUUUAAAAUGAAAUAAAAAGCACAAGAGUUAGGAGAGAGAGUGAACCCUGAUGGCUCAGAACAAAGCCUUGAGAGACUGAAAACAAAAGAAGGAAGAGGGAGAAGGUAUAUGGACAAGUAAUUUUUUUUGCUCAGAGGAUCAUGGAGUCAGAGAAGCAGUUGAUAUUAUAUAUUCUGCAUCUUAGAUUCUGUGUCUAUCAGGGUUUUUCUUUUAGUUGAUAAAUAUCUCUGAGUAUGGUGGGGAAAGCAGAAAAAACACUAGCUAAAAGGACAGAAACUUCUAAAGUUCUGUCAAUGAGUGUGCCAUUUCCGUAAGCAAUGUGUCAUUGAGAAAUAGAAGAAUCCCCUACAUGUCACCCUCUAAAACAACUAGGACUUUUUAUACACAUGUAUGUAAAGGAAACUUGGCAUCAUGCAGAGCCCUCAGGGCAGUGGUUCAGAAGAGGAAAUGUAUGUCUUCAUAUGUCAUUGGAUUAAUUUAUACAUGCAAGGCCCUAAAAUUUUUAAAAUUUAUUUAAAUUUUAAUAAAUACAGGAAAAGCAAGCUCUGGAUUUCUUAGAGAAGAGGAUAAAAAUAUAAAACGUACUAACUCUCAAAUAUAAAACCUACUAACUCUCAAAAGGGGAGAGAUAUGACCCCCACUUGGAUUGACAGUUCCUAUUUACAGAGCAUCGGUGGAAAAUAUGUCACAGAUCCAUCUCUGCCAAAGUGGGCUCAUAAUCUGUGCUUAGUGCCUAUUUAAAAAGAUGGCAGAAUGAUGUGGCAAGGCCUUGGUGCAUAGUUGAAUACAUAGUCUCCUGCCAUUUCCUAAAGAUGUCUUUUCAAACACAUCUUUAAAACAUCUCUGGAUCACCCAGACAUUCGAGGUCCAAAGUCCUAAACAUGGUAAGCAGUCUGUCCAAAACUCUGCAAGGGUUGGACAUUUCAGCAACAGAAGACAAAUCUCUCAUUCAGUGAUGCUUCAUUCACUUCAGUCCAUCUGAUCACAUAAAGGUAUGACUAGGGGAGCAAAUACACCAGGAGAGUUGGAGACAAUCAGAAUGUCUAAGUUUCCAGAAGAUAAAAGCUCCAAAGAACCCAUCAAUCCACAUUCAGCAAAAGAAUUAAGAACGUACAGAUAUUGCAGUCACUGAUUUCACAUUUUCUGGUAUUCAGUUCUGAAACUCUCAAAUAUUCCAAGUAUACCAAAAAUGCAAGUUCAAUUUUUGUUUUAGAUGUAAGGUUCUGAUUUCAACCCUGACCCAACGAACAGAUUCCUCAUCUUCCUCUGUAAGCCUGCUGCCAAACAAUGGAAAGGGUACAGUCUUUUCUAAAAUUCAAAGCAUUAAUUCAAAUUCAUAGCAUUAAUUUACUGCAUACUUUCCCCCCAUCUUUCCAUCCAGCCCUUCAAUGUUUAUCCAGAAAAGUUUUUUUGCACUGAUUUUCACCUGUUUGUGUUGUUAUGGUAAUAAACACUGAUAAAUUCCUGGGGAAAAUGAAGUAAAAUAAAAACUGAAAAUAAAGAGGCUUAGCUAUACCAUAUUAUGGUUAUAAAAGUCAUUGUGAGGAUGAACUUAAUUCACACUUUAAAGUUGUUUAAAGAAGUUCUGUUUGGCACAAGCUGUUCUUGAUAUAUCUUGUAGGACAAUCAAUUUCAAAACUGUGUUUUACUCUUGCACAUUCAGACUAUAAAGUCUUUAUUUAUGUGCCAUCCAAAUCACACAAAGUUUAUCCCAGCAAUUAACGAGGGACUUGAACUGAGAUUUGGGAAUAAUUUUUUUUUCUGAUAGUACCUGGAGGAAAGCUUAAA